AUACGUAGGGUGCGAGCGUUGUCCGGAAUUACUGGGCGUAAAGAGCUCGUAGGUGGUUUGUCGCGUCGUCUGUGAAAUUCAGGGGCUUAACUCCGGGCGUGCAGGCGAUACGGGCAUAACUUGAGUACUGUAGGGGAGACUGGAAUUCCUGGUGUAGCGGUGAAAUGCGCAGAUAUCAGUAGGAACACCGGUGGUGAAGGCUGGUCUGUGGUCAGUAACUGACGCUGAGGAGCGAAAGCAUGGGUAGCGAACAGGAUUAGAUACCCUGGUAGUCCAUGCCGUAAACGUUGGGCGCUAGGUGUAGUGGUCUUCCACGACUUCUGUGCUGGAGCUGACGCAUUUAGCUCCCCGCCUGGGGAGUACGGCCGCAAGGCUAAAACUCAAAGUAAUUGGCGGGG
rnacentral:rRNA from 1 species